rnacentral:rRNA from 1 species
CCUACGGGUGGCUGCAGUGGGGAAUAUUGGACAAUGGGGGAAACCCUGAUCCAGCGACGCCGCGUGAGUGAAGAAGUAUUUCGGUACGUAAAGCUCUAUCAGCAGGAAAGAAAAUGACGGUACCUGACUAAGAAGCCCCGGCUAACUACGUGCCAGCAGCCGCGGUAAUACGUAGGGGGCAAGCGUUAUCCGGAUUUACUGGGGGUAAAGGGAGCGUAGAGGGCAGCGCAAGUCUGGAGUGAAAUGCCGGGGCCCAACCCGGGGAAAGCUCUGGAAACUGGGAAGCUGGAGUGCAGGAGAGGAGAGCGGAAUUCCUGGUGUAGCGGUGAAAUGCGUAGAUAUCAGGAGGAACACCAGCGGCGAAGGCGGCUUACUGGACUGUAACUGACGUUGAGGCACGAAGGCGUGGGGAGCAAACAGGAGUAGAUACCCCAGUAGUC